rnacentral:rRNA from 1 species
UAGGGAAUCUUCCACAAUGGACGCAAGUCUGAUGGAGCAACGCCGCGUGAGUGAAGAAGGUUUUCGGAUCGUAAAGCUCUGUUGUUGGUGAAGAAGGAUAGAGGCAGUAACUGGUCUUUAUUUGACGGUAAUCAACCAGAAAGUCACGGCUAACUACGUGCCAGCAGCCGCGGUAAUACGUAGGUGGCAAGCGUUGUCCGGAUUUAUUGGGCGUAAAGCGAGCGCAGGCGGAAUGAUAAGUCUGAUGUGAAAGCCCACGGCUCAACCGUGGAACUGCAUCGGAAACUGUCAUUCUUGAGUGCAGAAGAGGAGAGUGGAACUCCAUGUGUAGCGGUGGAAUGCGUAGAUAUAUGGAAGAACACCAGUGGCGAAGGCGGCUCUCUGGUCUGCAACUGACGCUGAGGCUCGAAGGCAUGGGUAGCGAACAGGAUUAGAUACCCUGGUAGUCCAUGCCG